UGUUUGUCGAUCCUGUCCUGAUAUUUAUGGACUGUGAUGAGACAGAACUGCAGAUAUAAUGAAGAAGAAGAAAAGGCGGGUUCUCCGGAGGGUUGGAGAGCGUCCGUGCGAUAUUCUUCUAACAUCACGAACCCUGUUUGUUCACGGAGGUACCAGCUCACCUGUACUGCUACCUAUCCAAAACAGGAAGAGGAAGUGGACGCAGCAAGAUAUUAUCUGUGAGGACGAGCUCUCCUUACAGAUACUUCACACUGCCACACUU